rnacentral:rRNA from 1 species
GGGUUUCCCUUCGGGGCACUGGUGACAGGUGGUGCAUGGUUGUCGUCAGCUCGUGUCGUGAGAUGUUGGGUUAAGUCCCGCAACGAGCGCAACCCUUAUUGUUAGUUGCCAUCAUUAAGUUGGGCACUCUAGCGAGACUGCCGGUAAUAAACCGGAGGAAGGUGGGGAUGACGUCAAAUCAUCAUGCCCCUUAUGACCUGGGCUACACACGUGCUACAAUGGCUGGUACAACGAGUCGCAAGCCGGUGACGGCAAGCUAAUCUCUGAAAGCCAGUCUCAGUUCGGAUUGUAGGCUGCAACUCGCCUACAUGAAGUCGGAAUCGCUAGUAAUCGCGGAUCAGCACGCCGCGGUGAAUACGUUCCCGGGCCUUGUACACACCGCCCGUCACACCACGAGAGUUUGUAACACCCGAAGUCGGUGAGGUAACCGUAAG